GAGCUAUAGAAAACGGAAAGCUGCAUGGAAACAACUGCUGGUCAACCAAUGUCCAAAAAAUUGGUGUGAUUAUAAAUUCGCAGCAGCAGACUUCAAACGCACAGACGACAAUGGUGACAAAAACUGCGUUGCCAGUUGUUACAUGCCCCCAUCUGUUUACGGGUACAACACUUCGUUACCAGCUCUUCUGCCUGAUACCGCCCCUUGCAAAGAAAAGGGAGAGCAAUUAUGCAUAAAUGGAGACUGCGUGCCAAAAAGACUGAAGCGUCGGGUAUACAGCCCGUACUAAUAUUGUCACCAAUAAUAUACAAUAAAGAAACUACUUGCAAAAAAGCACGACAACUCAUGACCUA